GAGUUUGAUCAUGGCUCAGGAUGAACGCUAGCGGCAGGCUUAAUACAUGCAAGUCGAGGGGCAGCAUGGUCUUCGGAUCGAUGGCGACCGGCGCACGGGUGCGUAACGCGUAUGCAACCUACCUAUUACAGGGGAAUAAUCCGAAGAAAUUUGGUCUAAUACCCCAUAGUAUUAGAUUCUGGCAUCAGGAUUUAAUUAAAGAAUUUCGGUAAUAGAUGGGCAUGCGUUCCAUUAGCUAGUUGGAGUGGUAACGGCACCCCAAGGCGACGAUGGAUAGGGGAACUGAGAGGUUAAUCCCCCACACUGGUACUGAGACGCGGACCAGACUCCUACGGGAGGCAGCAGUAGGGAAUAUUGGGCAAUGGUCGAGAGACUGACCCAGCCAUGCCGCGUGCAGGAAGACGGCCUUAUGGGUUGUAAACUGCUUUUAUACAGGGGUAACAGCAUCUACGAGUAGAUGUCUGAAAGUACUGUAAGAAUAAGGAUCGGCUAACUCCGUGCCAGCAGCCGCGGUAAUACGGAGGAUCCAAGCGUUAUCCGGAUUUAUUGGGUUUAAAGGGUGCGCAGGCGGAUUAAUAAGUCAGUGGUGAAAUUUUUCGGCUCAACCGAGAACCUGCCAUUGAUACUGUUAGUCUUGAUUUUAGAUGGCGUAGGCGGAAUAUGUCAAGUAGCGGUGAAAUGCGUAGAUAUGACAUAGAACACCGAUCGGGAAGCCAGCUUACGAAUCUACAAAUGACGCUCAUGCACGAAAGCGUGGGGAUCAAACAGGAUUAGAGACCCUGGUAGUCCACGCAGUAAACGAUGAACACUCGUUGCCGGCGAUAGACAGUCGGUGGCCAAGCGAAAGUGAUAAGUGUUCCACCUGGGGAGUACGUUCGCAAGUAUGAAACUCAAAGGAAUUGACGGGGGCCUGCACAAGCGGAGGAGCAUGUGGUUUAAUUCAAUGAUACGCGAGGAACCUUACCUAGACUUGAACGUAAUAAGACCGACCAAGAAAUUGGUUUUCUAGCAAUAGUUUAUUACGAGGUGCUGCAUGGUUGUCGUCAGCUCGUGCCGUGAGGUGUUAGGUUAAGUCCUGCAACGAGCGCAACCCCUACCUUUAGUUACCAUCAUUUAGUUGGGGACUCUAAAGGAACUGCCCGCGCAAGCGAGGAGGAAGGUGGGGAUGACGUCAAAUCAGCACGGCCCUUACGUCUAGGGCGACACACGUGCUACAAUGGCCGGUACAGAGGGCAGCUACACAGCGAUGUGAUGCAAAUCUCGAAAGCCGGUCUCAGUUCGGAUCGGAGUCUGCAACUCGACUCCGUGAAGUUGGAUUCGCUAGUAAUCGCGCAUCAGCCAUGGCGCGGUGAAUACGUUCCCGGGCCUUGUACACACCGCCCGUCAAGCCAUGGAAGUUGGGGGUGCCUGAAGUACGUGACCGCAAGGAGCGUCCUAGGGCAAUACCGAUAACUGGGGCUAAGUCGUAACAAGGUAACCG
rnacentral:rRNA from 1 species